GACGAACGCUGGCGGCGUGCUUAACACAUGCAAGUCGAACGAAGAGCGAUGGAAGCUUGCUUCUAUCAAUCUUAGUGGCGAACGGGUGAGUAACGCGUAAUCAACCUGCCCUUCAGAGGGGGACAACAGUUGGAAACGACUGCUAAUACCGCAUACGAUCUAACCUCGGCAUCGAGGAAAGAUGAAAGGUGGCCUCUAUUUAUAAGCUAUCACUGAAGGAGGGGAUUGCGUCUGAUUAGCUAGUUGGAGGGGUAACGGCCCACCAAGGCGAUGAUCAGUAGCCGGUCUGAGAGGAUGAACGGCCACAUUGGGACUGAGACACGGCCCAGACUCCUACGGGAGGCAGCAGUGGGGAAUCUUCCGCAAUGGACGAAAGUCUGACGGAGCAACGCCGCGUGAGUGAUGACGGCCUUCGGGUUGUAAAGCUCUGUUAAUCGGGACGAAAGGCCUUCUUGCGAAUAGUUAGAAGGAUUGACGGUACCGGAAUAGAAAGCCA
rnacentral:rRNA from 1 species